UUUUUGGCCACUGGGUCAUCUGGCUGUGCAGUGAGCCGUAGUGCAGAUGAACAGUUCCCCAUGGGGCUCCACUGACCCACAGUGGGGCUGAGGUCAGGUGUGAUCUGCCCACGGAAAGGCCAGUGUCCACAGUCACAGAGACAGGAGAGGACGGCCGCGCCGACAAGAAAGAGAGCACAGGGGACCAGGGACACCACAAAGAACUGGGGCACAGGAUUGAAGGAAAGUUUUCCUUGCUGGGAUGAGGGAUCAGAAAAGGAUCCUGCUGCAUGAUGGAUCAGAAGAAGACCCUGAGGGCUUCACCUGUCUGCCUGUGGAGACUGCUUAGCUCCAGCAGGUCACCCUAGCGGGCCCACCCCGCCCACCAUGACCCCCGUGACAGCACCCUGUCCCCAGGAAGGUUGCCGCCCGCCACCCGGCUUCACCUGCACACAUCCAGUGUCUCCACUGCACGCCUCCCUGCAGCCUGCCCAGGCCUGGCAGCGCCCACGGCUCCAGCUUCAGCUCUACUGGGAGUCAGCUGGAAGCGGGGUUCUACUGGAGAGAAAGUGAUCUGCAACACACGGGGAGUCAAGCUUCUGAAAAGUCCACCUGCAGAGGCGAUUCGGGCCUGUCAGUCUCCCGGGCCCCCUCACAGAGCCUGGCGCAGGACCACCCAGGCGUCAGCCUCCUGCUGUGCUCCAGCCCACACCAGCCCAGGAACUGCGACACAGUCGGAGCAGCCUGGCUGAGAGUGCAGGCCAGAGGCAUGUAGACCACAGCCGUGAGCGUGGCUGUGCACGGUGAGCCAGAUCCAAACAUUAGUGUCGCCACACGGAGCUCUCCUGUCUUCCUCCACUUCCUUCAAUUUACCCCAUCUGGCAGCACCAGGCUGUAUGCCCACAUCAGAUCAAAAUCCAUUUGCGUCCCCUGGAGGGGAGGGGAGGAGGGGAGCGAGCACUCACUGACCAGGGUGCAUUGCUUCUGGGCACCACUUCCGUUCCCAACCCUGAAGGACAAGCAGGGUGGGGUCCCUGGAUCGCCCUCCCUCUGCAGAGCCUGGAAACACCGAGUGCCUCUGGCUGGUUUCUGUUGCUGUAACUGCUCUUCGGAGCUGGUGACUUAUAAACAACAGAAGCUCAUGUGGCCGGGGUUGGGGGGCGGUGGGGGGGUGCACUGGAGUCCAUGCCUGAGGGCCUGCUCGAGGUUCGGGCCUCUGUGCGGUGCCAGCCUCCGCAGGGGUGGAAGGGCAGGAAGACCUGCAGGGCGAGGCUGCCCUCUCAGCUCCAGCCCAUCGUGGUCAGCAUCGAAGACGUCCUGCCCCAGCUCUCCCACCCACCCUCCCAGCCCAUGCUCUUGGGGACCCGGGACCCCGAAGCGUGCCCCUGAGCCC
rnacentral:lncRNA from 1 species